rnacentral:rRNA from 1 species
CCCAAAAUGACUCUCGGCAACGGAUAUCUCGGCUCUUGCAUCGAUGAAGAACGUAGCAAAAUGCGAUACUUGGUGUGAAUUGCAGAAUCCCGUGAACCAUCGAGUCUUUGAACGCAAGUUGCGCCCGAAGCCUUUAGGUUGAGGGCACGCCUGCCUGGGUGUCACA